GUUGUUUAUUGUGAUCAAUGUGUUGUCACUAACCUGACAUUGUAAUUAUGUAAAUCAAUCAAGUGUCCAUUGUAAGUGUGUAUAAACUGCUCAUUUUGAUUGUGUUGGAAAUGAUUUACAUAAUGUUCGUUAAUUAUUUGUUCCCAAUCGGUAACUGUAUAUAGUUAGUUCGAUGAUGUUCAUUCGUAUAGUUUUGUUUAACAUACUACACCCAGUAGCACUAUUUCUUUUCUUUAUUCAUUUGACUGUAUUUUUAAUCAUUAUUCCCCAUCUCUUCUUAUCUCUCAAGAAUUAGGGAAACGUUUAGUUUUAGAUUCGAUUAUGUCAUCUUCUAGUAAUUUUAUUAUUUGCCCUACUCAAUCACCCGGGAACAUGUUACUCGCUGUAUAAUUAUAUUUUCUCUUCAUUCAUUCAACAUAUUAAGGCACUAGCGUGUUUACAUAAACUCCUUAUCAAAAAUCUCAUCCGUAUGAAGCUUAUAAAUAGCUCGGUUCCUUCCUGUUUUGUACAAUGACUACUAAUUAUUUCAUAUCACUGAAAAAUCGUGUGAUCGCACAACUGUUAAUUAAGGUUAAAGCAAGGACAUCCGCAAUAACUGUUGUUGAUAAUUUCAUCUUACAAUCUAGAUUCAAGUAUUCAGAAGAAAGCGUUUUUAUAAUUCGGGGUUGACGCAUCAUGUAUUCUUCUUCCAUGUUUUUACUUUGUAGCCAUCCACGUUCAUGUUCAAAAACUUCCUCAUAAUAGGAUCCAUUCCUCCAUACCAUGACAGCUGGUUUCCAAAUAGCAUGUCGGUAAUCUGUGCCAUUUUCAAUUUCCUCUUUCGUACUCUUUCCAUUCGAGUAAUCUUCGCUACAUGCAUUUGUCUUCGAUUCUUACUUUUGUGGGCCAGGGGGUCUACUCUAAUUCACCGAAAAACGAACUUUCGUACGAAAUUUCGCGAACUUCUUACCACGGUUCCAUUUCCUUCCGAAAUUUCGUACGAACGAAGAUUGUUUGACGUUUAUUGUCUAUAAACCUACUCUAAUUCGAAAUGAUACGAACGAAUAUUUGAGUUUGACAGACGAAACUUCGGAAUUUUAACCUCAAAUUCAACGAAACCAAAAGAGUUAUCGUUUGAUUUUCGUGUUACUUUUCGUUUUGUGAAUUUUGUGUGAAAAUUAUUGGCAAAGGCUAUAAAAAUGCUUUUAAUUAAAGCAGCUUUACGUGAAGAUCGUGUAGAGCGAAGAAGGAACCGGCAGUGCUUGCGCAAUCAAUUAAAUAUUAGCGAAAUUCCCGACGUAGAGUUUGUAGGAAAUCACAGAGUCAGUCGGCAAUUUUUCGAAGAGUUGUGCCAGGAAUUCAUGCCUUUAUUACCUCCAAACAAUGCAUAUUUCAAUUGCUAGACCUUCUGGAGCAUGAGGAACAAUAUUUUAAUCGAAAAUAUUUUCAUUCUCUUAACACCCAAGUUGUAAGUAUAAGAACUAAACAUCAAUUAUUUAAUUGAGGCGUUGACUGUUGUUUAUUAUGAUGCUGAUCAUCUAUCCUUUAUUAUUUUUCAGAUAUGUGACAGUGAUUACUAUAUAACAAAUGUGGAUGUGUCAUUUGGUGGAGCAACACACAUGAUGCUUAUAUUUGGAGAGAUUAGAAGCCACUUGGAAGGUCUCCAGAAUGAAACAGUUUAUCUGUUAGGUGACUCUGGGUAUGCUCUAAGGGGCAUAUGAUGAUACCUAUACAUAAAGCUGUUGAAGAUUCUCUUGAAGGCAGAUACAACUUUGCAGAGCUUUGUUAGUGCAAAUUUUAGAAAGGGAUAGGUAGAACAAAGUUCUACUCAAGCACAUCAUAACAUGCUCCAGAAGAACUAUGUUUAUUGAUUUUAAGAAUUUGACAUGAUGUUAUUUCUUUCCUUUAGAGUUAAAUAAAAGAAUAAAUUAUAUACC